rnacentral:rRNA from 1 species
CCCUAGUGGCGCACGGGUGAGUAACGCGUGGGAACCUGCCCUGUGGUACGGAAUAACUCCGGGAAACUGGAGCUAAUACCGUAUGUGUCUUGAGGGACAAAGAUUUAUCGCCAUGGGAUGGGCCCGCGUAGGAUUAGCUUGUUGGUGGGGUAACGGCCUACCAAGGCAACGAUCCUUAGCUGGUCUGAGAGGAUGAUCAGCCACACUGGGACUGAGACACGGCCCAGACUCCUACGGGAGGCAGCAGUGGGGAAUAUUGGACAAUGGGCGCAAGCCUGAUCCAGCAAUGCCGCGUGAGUGAUGAAGGCCUUCGGGUUGUAAAGCUCUUUCGCACGCGACGAUGAUGACGGUAGCGUGAGAAGAAGCCCCGGCUAACUUCGUGCCAGCAGCCGCGGUAAUACGAAGGGGGCUAGCGUUGUUCGGAAUUACUGGGCGUAAAGGGCGCGUAGGCGGUACUUCAAGUCAGGCGUGAAAGCCCCGGGCUCAACCUGGGAACCGCGCUUGAGACUGGAGAACUAGAGUUCGGGAGAGGAUGGUGGAAUUCCCAGUGUAGAGGUGAAAUUCGUAGAUAUUGGGAAGAACACCGAUGGCGAAGGCAGCCAUCUGGACCGACACU